GCGAGCGAACGGGGAGGAGCCCAGAGCCUGAAUCAGCAUGUGUGUUAGUGGAAGCGUCUGGAAAGGCGCGCGAUACAGGGUGACAGCCCCGUACACAAAAGCGCAUGUGCUGUGAGCUCGAUGAGUAGGGCGGGACACGUGGUAUCCUGUCUGAAUAUGGGGGGACCAUCCUCCAAGGCUAAAUACUCCUGACUGACCGAUAGUGAACCAGUACCGUGAGGGAAAGGCGAAAAGAACCCCGGCGAGGGGAGUGAAAAAGAACCUGAAACCGUGUACGUACAAGCAGUGGGAGCCCCACCACUAAGCCAGUGGUGAACUCCACAUACGCAUCCUUUGCUGAGGAUACGGUUAACGGAGCGAAAGCGACGUUCAACCGCAAAAGAAGCAGAGGGGGCUUAGUGGUGGGGUGACUGCGUACCUUUUGUAUAAUGGGUCAGCGACUUAUAUUCUGUAGCAAGGUUAACCGAAUAGGGGAGCCGUAGGGAAACCGAGUCUUAACCGGGCGUUAAGUUGCAGGGUAUAGACCCGAAACCCGGUGAUCUAGCCAUGGGCAGGUUGAAGGUUGGGUAACACUAACUGGAGGACCGAACCGACUAAUGUUGAAAAAUUAGCGGAUGACCUGUGGCUGGGGGUGAAAGGCCAAUCAAACCGGGAGAUAGCUGGUUCUCCCCGAAAGCUAUUUAGGUAGCGCCUCGUGAAUUCAUCUCCGGGGGUAGAGCACUGUUUCGGCUAGGGGGCCAUCCCGGCUUACCAACCCGAUGCAAACUGCGAAUACCGGAGAAUGUUAUCACGGGAGACACACGGCGGGUGCUAACGUCCGUCGUGAAGAGGGAAACAACCCAGACCGCCAGCUAAGGUCCCAAAGUCAUGGUUAAGUGGGAAACGAUGUGGGAAGGCCCAGACAGCCAGGAUGUUGGCUUAGAAGCAGCCAUCAUUUAAAGAAAGCGUAAUAGCUCACUGGUCGAGUCGGCCUGCGCGGAAGAUGUAACGGGGCUAAACCAUGCACCGAAGCUGCGGCAGCGACGCUGAUGCGUUGUUGGGUAGGGGAGCGUUCUGUAAGCCUGCGAAGGUGGCCUGUGAGGGUUGCUGGAGGUAUCAGAAGUGCGAAUGCUGACAUAAGUAACGAUAAAGCGGGUGAAAAGCCCGCUCGCCGGAAGACCAAGGGUUCCUGUCCAACGUUAAUCGGGGCAGGGUGAGUCGACCCCUAAGGCGAGGCCGAAAGGCGUAGUCGAUGGGAAACGGGUUAAUAUUCCCGUACUUGGUGUUACUGCGAAGGGGGGACGGAGAAGGCUAUGUUGGCCGGGCGACGGUUGUCCCGGUUUAAGCGUGUAGGUGUGUGUUCCAGGUAAAUCCGGUUCACUUUAACACUGAGGCGUGAUGACGAGGCACUACGGUGCUGAAGCAACAAAUGCCCUGCUUCCAGGAAAAGCCUCUAAGCAUCAGGUAACAUCAAAUCGUACCCCAAACCGACACAGGUGGUCAGGUAGAGAAUACCAAGGCGCUUGAGAGAACUCGGGUGAAGGAACUAGGCAAAAUGGUGCCGUAACUUCGGGAGAAGGCACGCUGACACGUAGGUGAAGUGAUUUACUCAUGGAGCUGAAGUCAGUCGAAGAUACCAGCUGGCUGCAACUGUUUAUUAAAAACACAGCACUGUGCAAACACGAAAGUGGACGUAUACGGUGUGACGCCUGCCCGGUGCCGGAAGGUUAAUUGAUGGGGUCAGCGCAAGCGAAGCUCCUGAUCGAAGCCCCGGUAAACGGCGGCCGUAACUAUAACGGUCCUAAGGUAGCGAAAUUCCUUGUCGGGUAAGUUCCGACCUGCACGAAUGGCGUAAUGAUGGCCAGGCUGUCUCCACCCGAGACUCAGUGAAAUUGAACUCGCUGUGAAGAUGCAGUGUACCCGCGGCAAGACGGAAAGACCCCGUGAACCUUUACUAUAGCUUGACACUGAACAUUGAGCCUUGAUGUGUAGGAUAGGUGGGAGGCUUUGAAGUGUGGACGCCAGUCUGCAUGGAGCCGACCUUGAAAUACCACCCUUUAAUGUUU
rnacentral:rRNA from 1 species